rnacentral:rRNA from 1 species
AAUCAACGCUGGCGGCGCGCUUAACACAUGCAAGUCGAACGAGAAAGUGGAGCAAUCCAUGAGUAAAGUGGCGCACGGGUGAGUAACACGUGGGUAAUCUGCCUCUGGGUGGGGAAUAACUCUGGGAAACCGGAGCUAAUACCGCAUAAGCCUGCAAGGGGAAAGGCGAAAGUCGCCGAGAGAGGAGCCCGCGGUCGAUUAGCUGGUUGGUGAGGUAAAGGCUCACCAGGGCUGUGAUCGAUAGCCGGCCUGAGAGGGCACACGGCCACACUGGCACUGAAACACGGGGCCCGACUCCUACGGGGAGGCAGCAGUGGGGAAUCUUGCACAAUGGGGAAAGCCCUGAUGCAGCGACGCCGCGUGAGCGAUGAAGCCCUUCGGGGUGUAAAGCUCUUUCGGCAGGGACGAUAAUGACGGUACCUGAAGAAGAAGCUGCGGCUAACUACGUGCCAGCAGCCGCGGUAAUACGUAGGCAGCGAGCGUUGUUCGGAGUUACUGGGCGUAAAGAGUGCGUAGGCGGUGGCCCCAAGUCUGGUGUGAAAUCUCCCGGCUCAACCGGGAGGGUGCGCCGGAAACUGGGUUGCUUGAGUACUGGAGAGGCAAGCGGAAUUCCUGGUGUAGCGGUGAAAUGCGUAGAUAUCAGGAGGAACACCCGUGGUGUAGACGGCUUGCUGGACAGUCACUGACGCUGAGGCACGAAAGCCGUGGGGAGCAAACAGGAUUAGAUA